rnacentral:rRNA from 1 species
GACGUAGGGCGCGAGCGUUGUCCGGAUUUAUUGGGCGUAAAGAGCUCGUAGGCGGUGUGUCACGUCGGCCGUGAAAACCUGCAGCUUAACUGUGGGCGUGCGGUCGAUACGGGCAUCACUGGAGUUCGGCAGGGGAGACUGGAAUUCCUGGUGUAGCGGUGAAAUGCGCAGAUAUCAGGAGGAACACCGGUGGCGAAGGCGGGUCUCUGGACAGUUCCUGACGCUGAGGCACGAAGGUCAGGGGAGCAAACGGG